rnacentral:rRNA from 1 species
UACGAAGGGGGCUAGCGUUGCUCGGAAUCACUGGGCGUAAAGGGUGCGUAGGCGGGUCUUUAAGUCAGGGGUGAAAUCCUGGAGCUCAACUCCAGAACUGCCUUUGAUACUGAAGAUCUUGAGUUCGGGAGAGGUGAGUGGAACUGCGAGUGUAGAGGUGAAAUUCGUAGAUAUUCGCAAGAACACCAGUGGCGAAGGCGACUCUCUGGGACGGUACUGACGCUGAGACGCGAAAGCGUGGGGA